UUAUAAGUAUGGAGUGCAAUCGAUGCUCUUCUACAAGAAAAAAGGGCAGACAAAGGGGGCCUUGCACACCAUACUCGUUGGCCUUUCUUUUCCCUUUCGAUUCGCCUCCUAUAUAUGACCAAUACCCAGGUGAACUUCAAGCAACUCAGCCUCCGUUGACAAUUUUUUUCCUACCCAAGUCCUCUAGCUACUACUAGGGACUCCACACAGGCCUGCUAUAGAUUUGUUUGCAUUUCUGUUGCGAAACUCGUUUACUUUGUUUCUUCUACUGCGUGAAUUGGCAAAACUCGUGUCCGUCUUGCGCCUUUUGAUCGGAAAGGGUACGGUGUGGAAUAAUGGAUGAAGAAAACUAUAAGCUGUUCUUGAAGAACUGUGCCAUCAUCCAAGAGAAUGAGAGGCUUAGGAAGAGAGGAGAAGAGCUGACCCAAGAGAACCAGGUAUUGCUUCAGGAGUUGACGCAGAAGCUCUCCAAGUCCAAGCACACUGACCCUGAGCAUGGCUCAUCAUCUUCCACCGUGAACCAGCCCAACAACAACAGCAACGACGACGACAAUAAGAAAUAGUCCUCAUGGUGAAAGAUUUUGUUGUGAACCCAUUUGAUAACUGAUGCAUAAACUCAGUAAUGUGAACCUAGUUAUGAAACAAAUAUUGAUUUUCGAAGUUGUGUUAAAA